rnacentral:lncRNA from 1 species
GUUUUGUUGUUGUUUGCCCUGCCUUUGCUAGGCCUACGAGAAGAUCUGAUUUACUGCCUUACUCUUACCCAACCGUGGGACACUCUUGUGGCUUUAACUGUUUGACAUAUCCUUAAGAAUGGUUUUCAUUUGAUUUUUAAAGCGUAAUUGAUCAAAUGAAGGGAAGUUUACUGGCCCAUAUGCUUGACCCUUAUUUAAUGACUAGGAGCUUUUCCUGCUCUGUAACCCAUUUGUUCUUGCUGAGCUUUCUAGCUGCCUUUUCAUACUUUUAAAGUGGUUUUUGGAUGAUGUAACGCGGACUGUCCCAUUUGAUAGUGUGGAUUUAACACCGUUUACCUCAGUCCGGCUCCGACAGUUUUACCAGCUGAGGAUUUGACCCUGAUCUCUGCUGCUUUAAUUUCACACAGGCUCCUUUCCAGCAUCUCUGGUCAAGGUUAAAUGAGCAUUUCACGGCAGUCGGAGAAAAACACCGUUGGUUCAUUCUCUAGUCUACAUGCGAGCCUUGAUUUUAUUCCUGUCUGUUCAGAGAUGUCUGUGUCAAGUGCCAAGCAGCUAUCUAAACACUGAAUAUCUCCUUGUAAUAGAAUUACACAGUUCCCUUAAAACCGUGUUUGAAUUCCAAGUUUUAAGGUAGCAACAUGAAUCGGCUGUACCAGAGUGUCUGUGGUGGUAAAUGAAAGAUGAAGGUGACACACAUAUGUGACGUAGCUCCUGAGGUUAUUUUGCUACUUAUAUGUGUCGUAGCCUCUUUGUCACAUGGUUUUUAUCCUUUUCUAGUGUGAAAGUGCUGUGUGUGUACCAGCAGCAGGGCCAUCAUGUGAAGAAAUGUCAUUACGUACGUGUGAGGAGUCCUCUCUGUGAGGAAAGAUGCUCUUUUCUACAUUGCCAAAUUCCGUCUCAGACUGAUGCAGAGCGGUUUCAGAAGGUUGUGUUCAUACCUCUGCACGGGCACCUGGCCCUUGAAGAGGGAAGCUCUGGUGUGCAGCCCCCAGCUUUGCCCCAUUCCGGGUCUCAAGACAGGAGGCAGGAUCUCAGCUCUGCCAGAGGUGAAGAGGAGAUCAUCAGGAGGAAUAUUCUG